CUACGUGCCAGCAGCCGCGGUAAUACGGAAGAUCCGGGCGUUAUCCGGAAUUAUUGGGUUUAAAGGGAGCGCAGGCGGGAGUAUAAGUCAGCUGUUAAAUAUCAGAGCCCAACUCUGUUAUGCAGUUGAAACUAUAUUUCUUGAGUACGCACAGGGAUGGCGGAAUUCAGGGUGUAGCGGUGAAAUGCUUAGAUAUCCUGAAGAACUCCGAUCGCGAAGGCAGCCAUCCGGAGCGUAACUGACGCUGAGGCUCGAAGGUGCGGGUAUCGAACAGGAUUAGAUACCCUGGUAGUCCGCACGGUAAACGAUGAAUACUCGCAGUUCGGUCAUUAUGGUCGAGUUGUCCAGCGAAAGCGUUAAGUAUUCCACCUGGGGAGUACGCCGGCAACGGUGAAACUCAAAGGAAUUGACGGGGGCCCGCACAAGCGGAGGAACAUGUGGUUUAAUUCGAUGAUACGCGAGGAACCUUACCCGGGCUUGAAC
rnacentral:rRNA from 1 species